GUCCUUUUAAGGGAAACACACAAACACAUACACACACACACACACACACACACACACACACAGAGGAAAGAAGGGCAUAUGAAGACUGACGCAGAGAUUGGAGUAAUGUAGCUAUAGCCAAGGAACACCAAGAAUUGCUGGGAUCUGCUAGAAGCCGGGAGAGCAGCUGGGAGAUGAUUUCUCUUUCAGAGCCUCCAGAAGGAACUAACGCUAUGGACACCUUGAUUUAGGACUUCUGGCCUCUUGGACUAUGAGGUCUAGCAAUUCUCAGGAUCAGAAAUGCAACCUGGGGAAAUGCUUCUCUGAUAAAAGAAAAUUGAAGAACCUUGGAGUGUCCAUGAGAAAUGAACCAUAACCAAAGACAGUUCCUUUGAGAAAAAUUUCAUUGUGAUAAAAACAAGAUUGAGCUAAAAGACAACAUAAUCAGAAGACAGAAAAUGAACACAACAUCUAAAGAACCAGAUAAGACUGUGAGAGACCAGGAACAGCAACAGUAUACUUGCCACAUCUAAGGAGGGGAGGAGGGGCCCAUCUGUGCUCACCCCACUGCUUCAGGGUCCUUCUAACAAAGAGAUUGUGCUGCGGUGGCCCCAAGAACCUUCCAGCAGGCAAUGCCUGCUGCUUUGGAAGUAUUCAGAAGUUGCAAUGCUGGGAACCAAGAUGUCAGGUUAUUGAAAGGAGAGGAACUACCAGAUAGAACCUGGCUUUGUAGAGCAAAUAAAGGAAUAACUCAAGUCACCUGUACUGGAAAUCAGUUUGCUGAAAUUACUCAAUCAACGAUUCUUGAAGUUGAAGAAAAGGAGGUUCUAGCCUUGACAAGAGGAGUGUGGCCCUUCCUGGAAUCCCUCUGGACACACCCUCCUAGCAUCCUCUAGGAAAGAUGCGGCAGCUCAAAGGGAAGCCCAAGAAGGAGACCUCCAAGGACAAGAAGGAGCGGAAGCAAGCCAUGCAGGAGGCCCGGCAGCAGAUCACCACAGUGGUGCUGCCCACGCUGGCCGUGGUUGUGCUCUUGAUCGUGGUGUUUGUGUACGUGGCCACACGCCCCACCAUCACCGAGUGAGCCCUGCAGCCAGCCGUGGACCCCAUCGGCAGGGAGAGGAGGCGCGGGAGGGGGACGCAAACAAAAAAUGGCUUUCAUAUUCAGAGAUGUUCAUGUUGCUGAGCUGUAAGCAGGAGCACCCUGUCUUCUCUGGUCUUUGACUUGAUUAAAGUAUCUCCGCUUUCUUAGGAGGGAACAGGGGAUGUUUUAUCGGUGAAUGUGCCAUACACCUUAUGGUCCACUUCAUGUGCCUUUCAGACUUCAAAGCGCGCGCGCGCGCGCGCGCGUGUGUGUGUGUGUGUGUGUGUGUGUGCGUGCGCGCUUCUUCUUCUCUCCUAAAAAUCGAUAAGUAGCUCCAUCUGAGGAGGGGCGGAGCCUCUGGGUCAGGAAGCAGCUGGAAUCCACACUCACCUCAUUCCCAUUGUUUGGAUCAUGCCUCUUUCCAACACGUGUUCACAAUCUCCAAAGGGACUGUGUUUCUUCUCUGUGCUUAAUGUGAUUUGAAAUAUGUUGAAUCAAAGUGAAAUAUUUAUUUUUUGAAUAAAGGAGAUAAUAGCCUUAAA